rnacentral:tRNA from 1 species
CGAUCACUUGAUCGCAAAAUCACCUGCCUGUCACGCAGGGGGUCGCGGGUUCGAGUCCCGUCCAGA